rnacentral:rRNA from 1 species
CAAAUCUUAGCGGUGGAUCACUCGGUUCGUGGAUCGAUG